rnacentral:rRNA from 1 species
UACGGGGGGGGCAAGCGGUUGUUCGGAAUUACUGGGCGUAAAGGGCUUGUAGGUGGCCAACUAAGUCAGACGUGAAAUCCCUCGGCUUAACCGGGGAACUGCGUCUGAUACUGGAUGGCUUGAGUUUGGGAGAGGGAUGCGGAAUUCCAGGUGUAGCGGUGAAAUGCGUAGAUAUCUGGAGGAACACCGAUGGCGAAGGCAGCUCGCUGGGACGGUAGCUGACGCUGAGGCGCGAAAGCGUGGGGAGCAAACAGG